UACGUAGGGUGCGAGCGUUGUCCGGAAUUAUUGGGCGUAAAGGGCGCGUAGGCGGUUGGAUAAGUCUUGUGUGAAAUCUUUCGGGCUCAACUCGAAGUCUGCACGAGAAAACUAUCUGGCUUGAGUGUGGGAGAGGUGAGUGGAAUUCCUGGUGUAGAGGUGAAAAUUCGUAGAUAUUCGGAAGAACACCAGUGGCGAAGGCGGCCCCGCUGGACAUGUAUUGACGCUUGAGG
rnacentral:rRNA from 1 species